rnacentral:rRNA from 1 species
UACGAAGGGAGCUAGCGUUGUUCGGAAUUACUGGGCGUAAAGGGCGCGUAGGCGGCCGUAUAAGUCAGAUGUGAAAGCCCUGGGCUCAACCUAGGAAUUGCAUUUGAUACUGUACGGCUAGAGAUCGAAAGAGGAGAGUGGAAUUGCGAGUGUAGAGGUGAAAUUCGUAGAUAUUCGCAAGAACACCAGUGGCGAAGGCGACUCUCUGGUUCGAUACUGACGCUAAGGCGCGAAAGCGUGGGGAGCAAACAGG